rnacentral:rRNA from 1 species
UACGAAGGGGACUAGCGUUGUUCGGAAUCACUGGGCGUAAAGCGCACGUAGGCGGAUUUGUAAGUCAGGGGUGAAAUCCCGGGGCUCAACCUCGGUACUGCCUUUGAUACUGCGAAUCUUGAGUCCGAUAGAGGUGGGUGGAAUUCCUAGUGUAGAGGUGAAAUUCGUAGAUAUUAGGAAGAACACCGGUGGCGAAGGCGGCCCACUGGAUCGGUACUGACGCUGAGGUGCGAAAGCGUGGGGAGCAAACAGG